UACGUAGGGAGCAAGCGUUGUUCGGAUUUACUGGGCGUAAAGGGCGCGUAGGCGGCAAUUCAAGUCAUCUGUGAAAUCUCCGGGCUUAACUCGGAACGGUCAGAUGAUACUGUUUUGCUAGAGUGCAGAAGGGGCAAUCGGAAUUCUUGGUGUAGCGGUGAAAUGCGUAGAUAUCAAGAGGAACACCUGAGGUGAAGACGGGUUGCUGGGCUGACACUGACGCUGAGGCGCGAAAGCCAGGGGAGCAAACGGGG
rnacentral:rRNA from 1 species